GGGGCUUUAGCUCAGUGGUAGAGCAGCUGCUUUGCAUGCAGAAGGUCCCAGGUUCAGUUCCCGGCAGUGUCU